AACGAACGCUGGCGGCAUGCCUAACACAUGCAAGUCGAACGAGACCUUCGGGUCUAGUGGCGCACGGGUGCGUAACGCGUGGGAACCUGCCCUUAGGUUCGGAAUAACUCCCCGAAAGGGGUGCUAAUACCGGAUAAUGUCUUCGGACCAAAGAUUUAUCGCCUUUGGAUGGGCCCGCGUUGGAUUAGCUAGUUGGUAGGGUAAAAGCCUACCAAGGCGACGAUCCAUAGCUGGUCUGAGAGGAUGAUCAGCCACACUGGGACUGAGACACGGCCCAGCCUCCUACGGGAGGCAGCAGUGGGGAAUAUUGGACAAUGGGCGAAAGCCUGAUCCAGCAAUGCCGCGUGAGUGAUGAAGGCCUUAGGGUUGUAAAGCUCUUUUACCCGGGAUGAUAAUGACAGUACCGAGAGAAUAAGCUCCGGCUAACUCCGUG
rnacentral:rRNA from 1 species